CGGACGGGUGAGUAACGCGUGAGAAUCUACCUUGAGGUUCGGGACAACCACUGGAAACGGUGGCUAAUACCGAAUGUGCCGAGAGGUGAAAGGCUUGCUGCCUGAAGAAGAGCUUGCGUCUGAUUAGCUAGUAGGUGUGGUAAAGGCGCACCUAGGCGACGAUCAGUAGCUGGUCUGAGAGGAUGAUCAGCCACACUGGGACUGAGACACGGCCCAGACUCCUACGGGAGGCAGCAGUGGGGAAUUUUCCGCAAUGGGCGAAGGCCUGACGGAGCAUUACCGCGUGAGGGAGGAAGGCUCUUGGGUUGUAAACCUCUUUUCUCAGGGAAGAAAAAAAUGAUGGUUCCUGAGGAAUAAGCUUCGGCUAACUCCGUGCCAGCAGCCGCGGUAAUACGGAGGAUGCAAGCGUUAUCCGGAAUGAUUGGGCGUAAAGGGUCCGCAGGUGGCAUUGUAAGUCUGCUGUUAAAGAGUCACGCUCAACGUGAUCAAGGCGGUGGAAACUACAAAGCUAGAGUGUGGUCGGGGCAGAAGGAAUUCCUGGUGUAGCGGUGAAAUGCGUAGAUAUCAGGAAGAACACCGGUGGCGAAGGCGUUCUGCUAGGCCAAGACUGACACUGAGGGACGAAAGCUAGGGGAGCGAAUGGGAUUAGAUAC
rnacentral:rRNA from 1 species